UACGGGAGGCAGCAGUGGGGAAUAUUGCACAAUGGGUGCAAGCCUGAUGCAGCCAUGCCGCGUGUAUGAAGAAGGCCUUCGGGUUGUAAAGUACUUUCAGUCGUGAGGAAGGUGUUAAGGUUAAUAACCUUAGCAAUUGACGUUAGCGACAGAAGAAGCACCGGCUAACUCCGUGCCAGCAGCCGCGGUAAUACGGAGGGUGCGAGCGUUAAUCGGAAUUACUGGGCGUAAAGGGCACGCAGGCGGUUAAUUAAGUUGGAUGUGAAAUCCCCGGGCUUAACCUGGGAAUGGCAUUCAAGACUGGUUAGCUAGAGUCUUGUAGAGGGGGUAGAAUUCCAUGUGUAGCGGUGAAAUGCGUAGAGAUGUGGAGGAAUACCGGUGGCGAAGGCGGCCCCUGGACAAAGACUGACGCUCAUGUGCGAAAGCGUGGGGAGCGAAACAGGGAUUAGAUACC
rnacentral:rRNA from 1 species